CUCUCUCCCAAAGAGCAUUUCCUGUCCUUUCCUAUGCAGAGAGGAAUUUUCCAAAGUCACCAUAUGGGAAAAUGUGACUGGCCAUGAGAUUGUGCCGAGGAGGACUUUGAUGCCAAUGGCAGCCUCGACUUCGAAGAAGAUUUAGGUUGCACCUUUGGGUUGGGAGAUGGCAUGGUCGGGCUCGACACAGAAUGAGGCAAUUCCUGUCUAGGGACAGGAGUCGAGAGACCAUGAAGAAGAACGCAUCAUAAUUGCUGUGGGCAUGAUAUAAACCUAUGCAAGACUAUUCAAAGAGUAUAUUGCCGUUUUGGGCUCGGGUGCAGCGGGCGGUGAUAAAGCCUUCAUCAAGACAGAAAAACAGUUUUAGCCAGUAGAGAGUUCUACCAUCCACCCAAUUAAGGAUUCCAACAUAUGAAGAAAGACACUUCUCUUUCAGAGAAAGGUGUUUAAAGUCAUUUAUGUGACUUUUCAUGCACAUCUGUUUCUAAUUUAAAAUAAUAUAUGGUCUACUACUGAGAAUGGUUUAUUUUGCUCCUUGCAAGCUCUUUAUAAUUAUAUGUCAUAAAAGGCAUUAAAAGAAAAUGGCAUUCUCACUCUUC